AUCAAAAAAAUAGAUACAAAAAUGGAAAUAAAUAAUUGAGACCUAAUUAACUUACAAGCUUUUGGCACAGCAAAUGAAACCAUAAACAAAAACAAAACAACAACUGAUGGAAUGGGAGAAAAUAUUUGCAAACUGACAAAGGUUUAUUUUCCAGAAUAUAUAAAUAGCCCAUAGAAUUUAA